CCUACGGGAGGCAGCAGUGAGGAAUAUUGGUCAAUGGCCGGAAGGCUGAACCAGCCAAGCCGCGUGAGGGAGGAAGGCGCAGAGCGUCGCAGACCUCUUUUGCCGGGGGACAAAAGGCCGGACUCGUCCGGUCCUGAGGGUACCCGGAGAAAAAGCAUCGGCUAACUCCGUGCCAGCAGCCGCGGUAAUACGGAGGAUGCGAGCGUUAUCCGGAUUUAUUGGGUUUAAAGGGUGCGCAGGCGGGCUGUUAAGCCGGCGGUAAAAAUUCAGGGCUCAACCCUGUCGAGCCGUCGGAACUGGCAGUCUUGAGUGGGCGAGAAGUAUGCGGAAUGCGUGGUGUAGCGGUGAAAUGCAUAGAUAUCACGCAGAACGCCGAUUGCGAAGGCAGCAUACCGGCGCCCAACUGACGCUGAGGCACGAAAGCGUGGGGAUCGAACAGGAUUAGAUACCCUGGUAGUC
rnacentral:rRNA from 1 species